rnacentral:rRNA from 1 species
AUACGAAGGGGGCAAGCGUUGUUCGGAAUCACUGGGCGUAAAGCGCGCGUAGGCGGCCGGGUCAGUCGGGCGUGAAAGCCCAAGGCUCAACCUUGGAAGUGCGUUCGAUACUUCCCGGCUUGAGUACGGGAGAGGAGAGUGGAAUUCCCAGUGUAGCGGUGAAAUGCGUAGAUAUCUGGAGGAACAUCAGUGGCGAAGGCGGCUUCCUGGAUCAAUACUGACGCUGAGGUGCGAAAGCGUGGGGAGCAAACAGGAUUAGAUACCCGAGUAGUCC